CCUACGGGUGGCAGCAGUGGGGAAUAUUGCACAAUGGGGGCAACCCUGAUGCAGCAACGCCGCGUGAGUGAAGAAGUAUUUCUGUAUGUAAAGCUCUAUCAGCAGGGAGGAAGAUGACGGUACCUGACUCAGACUCCCCGGCUAACUCCGUGCCAGCAGCCGCGGUAAUACGUAGGGGGCCAGCGUUAUCCGGAUUUACUGGGUGUAAAGUGAGCUCAGUCGGCAGUGCAAGUCUGGAGUGAAAGCCCGGGGCCCAACCCCGGAACUGCUCUGGAAACUGUGCGGCUAGAGUACUGGAGGGGCAGGCGGAAUUACUAGUGUAGCGGUGAAAUGCGUAGAGAUUAGGAGGAACACCAGUGGCGAAGGCGGCCUGCUGGACAGUAACUGACGUUGAGGCUCGAAAGCGUGGGGAGCAAACAGGAUUAGAUACCCUGGUAGUC
rnacentral:rRNA from 1 species